GACAGAGGUGCCGAGCGUUAGGCGGAAUCACUGGGCUUAAAGCGUGUGUAGGCGGGUCGUUAAGUACCUUGUGAAAUCCCCCGGCUCAACCGGGGAAUGGCUGGGUAUACUGGCGAUCUUGAGCGAUCCAGGGGCAGAUGGAACAAGUGGUGGAGCGGUGAAAUGCGUAGAUAUCACUUGGAACGCCAAAGGUGAAGGCAGUCUGCUGGGGAUCUGCUGACGCUGAGACACGAAAGCCAGGGGAGCGAACGGG
rnacentral:rRNA from 1 species